GGUGUUCGGGUUGUCAUGCCAAUGGCACUGCCCGGUAGCUAAAUGCGGAAGAGAUAAGUGCUGAAAGCAUCUAAGCACGAAACUUGCCCCGAGAUGAGUUCUCCCUGACUCCUUGAGAGUCCUGAAGGAACGUUGAAGACGACGACGUUGAUAGGCCGGGUGUGUAAGCGCAGCGAUGCGUUGAGCUAACCGGUACUAAUGAACCGUGAGGCUUAACCUUACAACGCCGAAG
rnacentral:rRNA from 1 species